rnacentral:rRNA from 1 species
UACGUAUGGUGCAAGCGUUAUCCGGAUUUACUGGGUGUAAAGGGAGCGCAGGCGGCACGGCAAGCCUGAUGUGAAAGCCCGCGGCCCAACCGCGGGACUGCAUUGGGAACUACCGGGCUGGAGUGCCGGAGAGGUAGGCGGAAUUCCUAGUGUAGCGGUGAAAUGCGUAGAUAUUAGGAGGAACACCAGUGGCGAAGGCGGCCUACUGGACUGUGACUGACGCUGAGGCUCGAAAGCGUGGGGAGCAAACAGG